UAAUACCGCCAACGUUAGACCCGUCCGGUGU
rnacentral:piRNA from 1 species